CAGAAUUGAAUUGUUCUAAUAAACAGGGUUAAUCUAGGAAUGGAUAAUCGUUUGUUAGUGAUAUUAGGUUAACGUGCUUAAACCUUCAAAGAUUAUUAGACCACUUAAGGAAUUAGGGGCUGUAGUUUGAGAAGAGGGUCUUAAGUCAAAGGAUUGAUUAGAACUAUUUUGUUAACUAUUGUGGAACUAGAAAAUCAUUCAUAAGAAUAGGUGCAGUAUACCAAUUAGGGGAACAUAGAUGAUUCGAAAGACUUGAUCUCAUCUUUCUUCAUAUUUUCUAACCAAAUCUAUAUUUUCCAACUUAAUCUUUAUUUUAUGUCAUUUAAUUUUAUGCAAUCAAAUCAAAUCUAAACAAAAUAAUUUAUAUAUCCUAAAUAUUUACUUUAUUGCUAAAUUGAUAUUAACACAGUCCUCGUGGAUACGAACUUAUUUUAUUACUUCGAUACAUUUUUAGUACACAUGCUAAAAAUUCUAUCAAGUUUUUGGCGCCGCUGCUGGGGACUGUUGAGUCAUUUCAAUUUGGUAAUUUUGUUUUUGUUUAGGAUUUCUGUCAUUUAUAUUUUUGUUUAUAUAUUUAAAAAAAAAAUGAUUUAUGCUCUUAUUUUUCUUCUCAUUGUACCGUGCUACUAAAAAGUUUAUCCAAGUUUUGCAGCUAUGAUAGACAGGUUAUACCUCCAUGACACAAGAGAUUUGUAUGUUGAAGUAUGAAAAAUAUAUGCUAUCUUUGAAGAUAGGAUAUUUGGACAAUAAAAUCUCGAGAUUAAAUGAGAUAUGUGGUCGUUAUGAGGCGAAUCAACCAGGUGGUAAUUGUGAAGAGAAGAAAGAGGUGAUCAACAUCGAUUACAAUACUCAACUUCAAAAUAUUUUAGAUGAUUUCUUGGUGUCAAAUCAAGUUUCAUUUGAGAAGUUUGAUGGUCAAUGUGGUGAUCUUGUUGAGAAAGCACAUGAGUCUCAGAGGAAGCUGGUUCAGAUGGAGACUGAGUGUCACGAGGUUGUUGUGGAAGAAAAUCCCAAAGUGAGGAGUGUGGAUAUUUUUUCGAAGUCUGGAUCAACGGAGGUUAAGGAAAUAACUCAUGUGCAAAUGGAUGCACGUCCUUCUCUAAGGUGGGAGAGCUUAAAUUCCAAAAGAUCAACAGUGAGUGCAUGAGAGUAUCUGAUUCUUUAUGCCAAAUUCAUGGAAUUCCUACCAAACAGGAGGAAGAAGAAGGGUGAUAUAUUCCUUCUAUCAUUUUUGCCACCCUAAUAGUGGUUGAAGCGUCAAGCUCAAUGACGUAAAAGAAAGCGUUUGGUGGGAGGCAACCCAUCCUUUUUAUUAUGUCUUUAUUUCACUAUUUUAUUUCUACUGUUGAGUCAAACAAUUUUUCCUUAAUUUUGAUUUUGGUUUAACUCAGUUGUAUCCCCCCUGUGAUGUAAUUGAACUUGCACUUGUUUAUUAUUGAUGAAUUUUCUUGUUUUAUUGACUUUUUCCAGUUUAGUAACAAAUGUUUGUUCAAGUGGUAUUCCAAAAUUUCAAAAUGAGGAGUGACUUGUGAUUGAAAGGCGAACUGUACGACAGUGAAAGAUAGGUAGUCACAACUCCCAGAAAUCUAAACUGUAAGGUUCAUGGCCAAAUUUUAUUUUUCAAUUUACUUCUAAAGAGUGUUCCAUGCAUUUACAUUUCUGGAACUUGCAAUUUUUCUCUAUUGUCGAUUGAUCUUUGUUAUUAGCACACUGAGGCAAAAAUGCUUGGUCCUGUGAGCCUUUUUGAAGCCUACCCUGUUAUUAUUUGAAAUAUUAUCUUUUUUUAGCCAAUUUGAGCCGGUAGGUUUAGAUCUUUUUGUUCGGUGACAAACUAUACAAUAAGCGAUAAACUUUUAGGAUUUAUCCCUUAUUGUUUUUCUGAGUUAGGCAUUGUAGAAUGUUGCUAAAUAUUAAGUUUGGGGUUGCUAUUGGAAUUUGCAACCAACUAAGUUUUGGGUGGGGGUACUAGAGAACAAAGAAAAAAAAAAAAAGAACAUUCUCAUUAAAACAAUAUGCCAAAAUGGUGUAUUAAAAAAAAAAAGAUUAGAAUGAAAAAGGGACAAGACAUUGAAAAACCGAGUAACUUUAAACUCGAUUGUCCCAAUUGUUAUAAAUAAUCUCUAGUACCCUUGCAAGAAUUGUUGUUCCAAAAGGUGAAUGAAUGAUGAAUUGAAUUUUGUGCUUAAAUUCCGUAGGAAUGCCUAACUCAAAUUUUGUGUAGCCUACUUAUCCAAAUAUUAUCCCAUCUUCACCUAAGCCCCGUUAUAACCCUUUAAGACCUCAAAGUGUGCAUUGACAUUGAUUUUGAUUGACGUUUAGAAACUUUUCAAGCGUAUGGUAAUAUGUAGAUUGCAUGUCGAUUGUGUGUGAACCCUUUCAUAUUGUUGCGUGGAGUUGUGAAUUGGUAUGGUUGCUAACAAGUCAAACUAGCUCAUCUUUAGCUAGUAAGGUGUUGAACUUUUGGGUACUAUCGCUUGAUCAGGUAAUUGUUAUUUUACUGUCGAUUGUCAAUAUUACAAGUAAAUUCCUUGAGGACAAGGAACGGUUCAAGUUUGGGGUUGUGAUGACAGUCAGUCAUUCACUAUUUUUAGAGUCUUUUUCAUGAUAUUUUGAGUUCACAAGCAAGUUUAAACAGCAAUGAAAACAAAAAAAAUAGAAGAUUUCGAAGAAAGCAAAAUCGUGUCACGAUUGUUGAAAACCUGUCACGAUUUGAAGCACAGGAUUAGGUUCAUUCGACAUUGAUUAAAACGUGUCAUGAUGGCCAUUUCGUGACACGAUUUUAGGGACAUGUGGCACAAGGAAAGAAAUGUAAGCAAGAGAAAAUAUAAUCAAAAAGAGCAAAAUAAAAGGUGUCAAGAAGCAAUAGAAUUAAGAAUUCAUAUAAACUUAUGUUUGAUCCAAGAGAAGAAAACGUGACUUGCCACCAAGGGAACUAGGUUGGAAGGUUAUAAAAGGAGCUGCACAAGAGGAUUCAAUAACUCACGCUUGGUACAGAGAGAAGCCACGUUUUGGAAGAAAGGAAUUAGGCAUUCACGCAGCACGAGAGAAAAAGAAAAAGCUUGCACAUGGAAACAAAAAAGAACAACAUCGAUUGAAAGAAAAUUAGGAGCUAAGCCGGCAACGACGGAACUUUAUUGGUUUAUUUUCUUUACUAUGUUGUUUAAUUCUUUGAUUAUGUUUAGUUAAUUUCCUUUGAUUAGGUCUGAGAUGAUUUCUUGUAACCCUAAUUGAACCAUGUUGCUGUGAAACUCUAUUUAUUGUGAAUGAUAAUCUAGUUUUUAUUCAAUUCAAUUGUUCUUAAUGCUUUUAUAUCCCGAUCAUAUAUAAACAUGAUUUAGUGAGAAUGAAUGACUACUGACCAUAGCUUUCUACUUAGACAGAAUUGAAUUGUUCUAAUAAACAGGGUUAGUCUAGGAAUGGAUAAUCGUUUGUUAGUGAUAUUAGGUUAACGUGUUUAAACCUUCGAAGAUUAUUAGACCACCUAAGGAAUUAGGGGCUGUAGUUUGAGAAGAGGGUUCUAAGUCAAGGGAUUGAUUAGGACUAUUUUGUUAACUAUCGUGAAACUAGAAAAUCAUUCAUAAGAAUAGGUGCAGUAUACCAAUUAGGGGAACAUAGAUGAUUCGAAAGACCUAGUCUCAUCUCUUAUAUAUAUUUUCCAAAACUAUCUUUAUUUUCUGUUAUUUACUUUUAUUGCAAUCAAACCAAUCAACUACCUAGUGGCAAUUCAAAAGAACUUUUAUACAUCUUAAAUAUUUACUUUAUUGCUAAAUUGAGAUUAACACAGUCCUCGUGGAUACAAACUUAUUUUAUUACUUUGAUGCAUUUUUAGUACACUUGCUAAAAUAUC
rnacentral:lncRNA from 1 species